UGAGGAAUAUUGGUCAAUGGACGAGAGUCUGAACCNGCCAAGUAGCGUGAAGGAUGACUGCCCUAUGGGUUGUAAACUUCUUUUAUAUGGGAAUAAAAUGUUCCACGUGGUGGGAUUUUGUAUGUACCAUAUGAAUAAGGAUCGGCUAACUCCGUGCC
rnacentral:rRNA from 1 species